rnacentral:rRNA from 1 species
CCUACGGGAGGCAGCAGUGGGGAAUAUUGCACAAUGGGGGAAACCCUGAUGCAGCGACGCCGCGUGAGUGAAGAAGUAAUUCGUUAUGUAAAGCUCUAUCAGCAGGGAAGAAAAUGACGGUACCUGAGUAAGAAGCCCCGGCUAACUACGUGCCAGCAGCCGUGGUAAUACGUAGGGGGCAAGCGUUAUCCGGAUUUACUGGGGGUAAAGGGAGCGUAGACGGGAGUGCAAGUCUGGAGUGAAAGGCGGGGGCUCAACCCCCGGACUGCUCUGGAAACUGGAGGGCUGGAGUGCAGGAGAGGUAAGUGGAAUUCCUGGUGUAGCGGUGAAAUGCGUAGAUAUUAGGAAGAACACCGAUGGCGAAGGCAGCUUACUGGACUGUAACUGACGUUGAGGCUCGAAAGCGUGGGGAGCGAACAGGAUUAGAUACCCGAGUAGUC